ensembl:lncRNA
CCAUCCGUUCGCGCUUGACUCCCUUCACCUAAGAUGCCACAGGAGAGGGACCCUUCAGCGCGCGUGCUGGGGUCCCAGAGGCUAGAGCCGCAGCAAAGACCGCGGUCUCCGAAGCUGGAGGGAGCCACAGGUCCGGUCUGGGGAGGCUGCAGAGUCCCAGGGAGGUUCCCCACCAGAGGGAUCUCCACAAUAGGACAAGCUUGAGAGCUCUGAUGGUUCCCAAAGGUGGCUCUGCAGUGGAGGGCCGGACAGAGCGCGAGAGGGGCUUGAGUAGUGGAACUGGAGAGACCCCAUAGCUGGCCUGGAACUUCACUUUUCUUCACCAUUUAGACAGCACCCCAGGGAGCAAGAUCCCACCCCCACGCCCAGGAAUGGCAGUUAAGUUGCCCUACUUUGAGGAACUCAGAUAUGGGAAAACCAACUCGGU